rnacentral:rRNA from 1 species
UGGGGAAUAUUGGGCAAUGGGCGAAAGCCUGACCCAGCGACGCCGCGUGGGUGAUGAAGGCCUUCGGGUUGUAAAGCCCUGUCAUGCGGAAAGAACGACCCUGUGACGCAUACUCACAGGGAGUGACGGUACCGCAGGAGGAAGCACCGGCUAACUCCGUGCCAGCAGCCGCGGUAAUACGGAGGGUGCAAGCGUUGUUCGGAAUUAUUGGGCGUAAAGGGCGCGUAGGCGGUAAUGUAAGUCAGAUGUGAAAUACUCCGGCUCAACCAGAGAACAGCAUCUGAAACUGCAUAACUAGAGUACAGAAGAGGGAAACGGAAUUCCCGGUGUAGAGGUGAAAUUCGUAGAUAUCGGGAGGAACACCAGUGGCGAAGGCGGUUUCCUGGUCUGAUACUGACG